rnacentral:rRNA from 1 species
AGUAGCGCGUGGGUAACCUGCCUCAUACAGGGGGAUAACAGUUAGAAAUGACUGCUAAUACCGCAUAAGCGCACAAAACCGCAUGGUUUGGUGUGAAAAACUGAGGUGGUAUGAGAUGGACCCGCGUCUGAUUAGCUAGUUGGAGAGGUAACGGCUCACCAAGGCAACGAUCAGUAGCCGACCUGAGAGGGUGACCGGCCACAUUGGGACUGAGACACGGCCCAAACUCCUACGGGAGGCAGCAG